GUCCAGACUCCUACGGGAGGCAGCAGUGGGGAAUUUUGGACAAUGGGCGCAAGCCUGAUCCAGCAAUGCCGCGUGAGUGAAGAAGGCCUUCGGGUUGUAAAGCUCUUUUGUCAGGGAAGAAACGGUGAAGGCUAAUAUCCUUUGCUAAUGACGGUACCUGAAGAAUAAGCACCGGCUAACUACGUGCCAGCAGCCGCGGUAAUACGUAGGGUGCAAGCGUUAAUCGGAAUUACUGGGCGUAAAGCGUGCGCAGGCG
rnacentral:rRNA from 1 species